UUUCGCAAUGCCCGAAAGGGUGACGAAGCGACGCCGCGUGCGGGAAGAAGGCCUUCGGGUUGUAAACCGCUGUCGGGAGUUAAGAAAUGUAAGGAUGUUAAUAGCAUCUUUGCUUGACUAAGGCUCCGGAGGAAGCCACGGCUAACUCUGUGCCAGUAGCCGCGGUAAUACAGAGGCGGCAAGCGUUGUUCGGAACUAUUGGGCGUAAAGAGCACGUAGGCGGCUAUGUAAGUCGGUUGUGAAAGCCUUCCGCUCAACGGGAGAACAGCAUCCGAUACUACAUGGCUUGAGUGCGGGAGGGGAGAGUGGAACUUCUGGUGGAGCGGUGAAAUGCGUAGAUAUCAGAAGGAACGCCGGCGGCGAAAGCGGCUCUCUGGCCCAUAACUGACGCUGAGUGUGCGAAAGCUAGGGGAGCAAACGGGAUUAGAUACCCCGGUAGUCCUAGCCGUAAACGAUGGGCACUAAGUAGAGGGGUUUU
rnacentral:rRNA from 1 species